rnacentral:rRNA from 1 species
UACGAAGGGGGCUAGCGUUGCUCGGAAUCACUGGGCGUAAAGCGCACGUAGGCGGAUUGCUAAGUCAGGGGUGAAAUCCUGGAGCUCAACUCCAGAACUGCCUUUGAUACUGGCGAUCUUGAGUCCGGGAGAGGUGAGUGGAACUGCGAGUGUAGAGGUGAAAUUCGUAGAUAUUCGCAAGAACACCAGUGGCGAAGGCGGCUCACUGGCCCAUAACUGACGCUGAGGCACGAAAGCGUGGGGAGCAAACAGGG